UUAAACGAAAGGAUUAAUUGAUGAAUUGAGCGCGAAGCCUCCAGAAGGCAAACAUAGGCUCUUCUUUCCCCUUCUCCUACUCAAUACGUCCUCAUCGUAUAGAACGGUAACAUGUCUCUCAAUUAUCCAAGCUUGGGUACACGGGGAAACCCAACCCUUUGGGAGGAGGAAGGGUAUGACAAAAUUAAGAGGG
rnacentral:ribozyme from 1 species